GCCUCAACACCCAGUUCCGGCUUGACGUUACAUUACGGGACACCCUGUAUAUUAAGUAAUUGAUUGACAAGUACACAUUUGACAAGGUGGUGAGAAACAUGUAGAUCUGGCCUGCUUACAGUGGA